rnacentral:rRNA from 1 species
CCUACGGGAGGCAGCAGUGGGGAAUAUUGGACAAUGGGCGAAAGCCUGAUCCAGCCAUGCCGCGUGUGUGAAGAAGGCCUUCGGGUUGUAAAGCACUUUCAGUGGGGAAGAAAGCCUUGGGGCUAAUACCCUCGAGGAAGGACAUCACCCACAGAAGAAGCACCGGCUAACUCCGUGCCAGCAGCCGCGGUAAUACGGAGGGUGCGAGCGUUAAUCGGAAUUACUGGGCGUAAAGCGCGCGUAGGCGGUCUGAUAAGCCGGUUGUGAAAGCCCCGGGCUCAACCUGGGAACGGCAUCCGGAACUGUCAGGCUAGAGUGCAGGAGAGGAAGGUAGAAUUCCCGGUGUAGCGGUGAAAUGCGUAGAGAUCGGGAGGAAUACCAGUGGCGAAGGCGGCCUUCUGGACUGACACUGACGCUGAGGUGCGAAAGCGUGGGUAGCAAACAGGAUUAGAUACCCUUGUUAGUC